UUCAACAAGCCCUUAAUUAUAACUGUGUAUGCAAUGACAUCAGGUUUGAUCCCUCUUUCCUUCAUAUCCUUAAAGAGUUCAUGAGCCUCUCGCAAGCAAUUCAUCUUACAAUAACCAUUAAUCAUAAUUGUAUAAGUUACAGCAUCAGGUGUGAUCCCUCUUUCCUUCAUAUCCUUAAAGAGCUCAUGGGCCUCUGGCAAGCAAUUCGUCUUACAAUAACCAUUAAUCAUAAUUGUGUAAGUUACAGCAUCAGGUGUAAAUCCUGUAUGGAUGAACAAAUUAAACAAAGUGUGAGCACCUUCCAUAUUCCCAUUACAGCACAAUGCAGUAAAUAUUUUUGAAUACAUUACUUUGCUCGGUUUCAUAUUCAUCUCCAACAUAGUGCGUAGCAAUAUAAAAG
rnacentral:lncRNA from 1 species